rnacentral:rRNA from 1 species
AUUGAACGCUGGCGGCAGGCCUAACACAUGCAAGUCGAACGAGUGGCGGACGGGUGAGUAAUGUCUGGGAAACUGCCCGAUGGAGGGGGAUAACUACUGGAAACGGUAGCUAAUACCGCAUACCAUCGGAUGUGCCCAGAUGGGAUUAGCUAGUAGGUGGGUUAACGGCUCAACUAGGCGACGGUCCCUAGCUGGUCUGAGAGGAUGACCAGCCACACAGGAACUGAGACAAGGUCCAGACUCCGACGGGAGGCCGAAGGGGUGAAUAUUGCACAAUGGGCGCAAGCCUGAUGCAGCCAUGCCGCGUGUAUGAAGAAGGCCUGCGGGUUGUAAAGUACUUGCAGCGAGGAGGCGGUACCCGCAGAGGAAGCACCGGCUAACGCCGUGCCAGCAGCCGCGGUAAUAC